rnacentral:rRNA from 1 species
GAUGAACGCUGGCGGCGUGCCUAAUACAUGCAAGUCGAGCGAACGGACGAGAAGCUUGCUUUUCUGAUGUUAGCGGCGGACGGGUGAGUAACACGUGGAUAACCUACCUAUAAGACUGGGAUAACUUCGGGAAACCGGAGCUAAUACCGGAUAAUAUUUUGAACCGCAUGGUUCAAAAGUGAAAGACGGUCUUGCUGUCACUUAUAGAUGGAUCCGCGCUGCAUUAGCUAGUUGGUAAGGUAACGGCUUACCAAGGCAACGAUGCAUAGCCGACCUGAGAGGGUGAUCGGCCACACUGGAACUGAGACACGGUCCAGACUCCUACGGGAGGCAGCAGUAGGGAAUCUUCCGCAAUGGGCGAAAGCCUGAAGGAGCAACGCAGCGUGAGUGAUGAAGGUCUUCGGAUCGUAAAACUCUGUUAUUAGGGAAGAACAUAUGUGUAAGUAACUGUGCACAUCUUGACGGUACCUAAUCAGAAAGCCACGGCUAACUACGUG